rnacentral:tRNA from 1 species
CCACCGCCAGGGGUCGGGCCACUGCAGGAUCUCGGCAGCUUGGGGAGCGCGGCGACGCCGCAAGAGC